rnacentral:lncRNA from 10 species
AGUAGAUGUGGAAUUCGGAGACACAUGCUGAAGGGGAAACACUGGGAAUUCACCACUGCCUGAGCUCCAUGCCCUAAGAGAAAACGAGAAUCUUCCAUGUACCGCCUUGCAUUAAAGCGGUCCUGGUGAUUGUGAUGAUAAAGUAGACUUUAUUGCAUAUAAGGAUAGGCUUGAAUUAGAAAAGGAAUAACAGAUACAGUUACUGAUGGUAAUUGGCCAUUUCAUUUAUAAUAGAAGGAAUUUUCAUACUGGACUAAGGCUCUGAGGCUCCAGAGAAAUAUACUAAGAAAGUUGUGGCAGAUGGAGGAGGUGGAUGUGGGGCACGGAGGAUAGUCCCCCCUCCCCUAAAUUCAACCACAAUAAUUAUACCUUAUAACAGUUGCUUAUUAACCUUCUGCUUAAGAGUUUGUUUUUUAAUUUCACUUAUUAGAAAACGUUUGAAAAACAUUUAUCUGACUGAUUUCUAACUUCCCUUCCAGCCUUUAAAUCCCAAUUUCCUAAUUGCUUCCUGAGACUAUCCUCAUAACUUGAAGUGAUAUUUAUUUUUGACACAGCAGAAUACGUAUAACCUAUAUUACCUUUGACAGUCUAUUCUGACAAUGUAGCAUUUAUGUUAUACUUUGUCAUAAAGCCUGACAAACUUUCAUUGGUAUUAGUCUUAUCUGUAGAGAUUAUCUAUUAAAAGAGGGAAUGUAUCAUAUGUCAUAGAGUUUGAAAUAGUUCUUGUCAUGUAGGAAGAGUCCUGUAUAAAUGCAUAGGAAUCAUCCAGCACAUAUGUAUUCCACAGGAUAAUAUACCAUCUAACAACCUCUGAUCUUUGUUGCCUGCAUGUUAAAGAUUUCAAGGUUGUAUUUUUCAUCACAUUCAGAGUACAGUGGUUGAAAAUUUGAAACAUUUGAAACGAGAUAUUUCCUAGCCUGAAGAUCUUCAUCACAGAGUUAGAAAAGGCUCCUCUUUGAAAGAAAAGACUUCCUUAUACUCAUCUUCAUCUGGAAUUUCCCCAGUACUCCUUAUUUCUGACAUAAGAGAAGUCGUAGGCAUGGAGUUACUAAGAUUAUUCCAACAUUUUAAGAGUACUUUUACUCAGGUUGCAAAAUUAGCAGGCUAUUUUUUUUUGCAGCUUCUGACUUCAGGUCUAUUAAUGUUGCUGAUCACUAGUAUCACAAAGAAAUUUGUCCUAAUGAGCCAGUGGGUUUCCACCUUUAUGUUGAUAGCACCAAACCUGAAUAGACAAUAUCAGCAUAUCUGCAAAAAGCAAGUGAAAAAGAGAUUGAUAUAAUAUGUAAAUAGCUUUCACACAACAUUUUAUUUUAUUGAACUUUUUUUUAUUGCUGAGUCAGUACAAGAACAACUGUGGGACAUAGGGAAGCACAACAGAGCUACUUGAAGUUAGGAUGAUAAUGACACCAUUUUAGACAUGAUGCCUUACCAGUAGCAGCACAGGUCUUCUAUUCUAGAGUUUAAACUUUCAGUCAUUAUGUAUUUGAGAAUGUUUAUGAAAUGCCUUUUAUGUAACAACUUUGCUUGGCACUGGGGAAACAAAGAUUUACAAGACGUAGUUUCUGCCCUCUAGAAAUGUGUAAAGAAAAGUAAAAAAAUAAAAUAAAACUUUUCUAGCACAGCUAUGGCACAAGAAAGAAGUCUGAUAAAAAUUAGCUAACAUUAGCCGGGUGCGGUGGCUCACGCCUGUAAUCCCAGCACUUUGGGAGGCCUAGGUGGGCGGAUCACGAGGUCAGGAGAUCAAGACCAUCCUGGCUAACAUGGUGAAACCCCGUCUCCACUAAAAAUAUAAAAAAUUAGCCGGGCCUGGUGGCGGGCGCCUGCAGUCCCAGAUACUCGGGAGGCCGAGGCAGGAGAAUGGCGUGAACCCAGGAGAUGGAGCUUGCAUUGAGCCAAGAUCACGCCACCACACUCCAGCCUGGGUGGCAGAGCGAGACUCUGUCUCAAAAGAAAAAAAAAAAAUUAGCUAAAAUCAUUGGUGACCAAAAUAGGUGCCCCAGAGCCCACCCACUAAAGUCCACAGAUGCACGCAAACCUCCUUUUAAAGUUUAGGACUCAUUAUUUCAAAAGCAGUUCUAACAAGGUUAUGACUUGUUUCUCUGACCUUCAGAAGAUUAGAAGUGGCUAAUCAAACAGAAAAGAAAGACUGAAUGGACAUAUACACAAAUAAGAAAUGUGGGGAAAUGAAAAACCAGUAGCAACGUGGAUGUCAAUAAAAUUAUAAAAAAGCCUGUAUGCAAUAGCAACAAACAGACAAACACAAAUAACCAGUAUCAGUCAGCAGAUUUUCAGCAUGAGGCCAACAGUACUUCAUAGCUUAGGAUCCUGCAAAGUAGAUGAAAGGAAGCACACAUAAUAGACACCAGUUUACUAGUAUUGGGUCACUAUGUAUUUUUCACAUGUGUAUUUCAUUUAUUCUUCACAAAGACCCUGCUGAAGCAACUCAUUCUAGUUAACAAAUGAGGAGAUGAAGGCUCCAAGUAAUUAAGAAACAUAUUCAACAUGAAUCAUGAAUAUGAAGUUCAAGAUGUUAAAUUAAUUUAAAUAUCUAAUUUUGAUUGCAUCUUUGACUUUCAGAACUGCUUAGGAACCACUCCAUUGAGGGGUUACAUUAUUAUAAAUCUGUAAAUGGCAUCCAAGAGUUUCCUAACGCUCUAAUCUUAUUAGAGGUAAGAUACACCUAAUUUAGAAAACAGUUAAUAUUGCCAAAUUAAAAAGCAUAAAGAAACCAGGAACUUUCAUGAAGACCAGGAUGUCAAACUGGUGCUGUGUCCUGCUCAAGGAUAGAAAAUCCUAUAUGAUUUCACUCUCAGAUGCUGAAGCCUUGAUAGAACCCUGAGUGAAAGUUUAAUAUUCAAUCAGCAUGAGUUAGAAAUAGCUGAUUAAUUUACAUUCUAUUUUGUUUGUUUGUUUAAUAGUCCCCAUAUCCAGUCACUUAAACUAAUGAAAAAUAAUCACAGUAGAUUCUUCUCUUCUUGUUUUAUUUUUAAAAUUUCCUUCUUCUUUUCUUUAAAUGGUCCUCAAUUGCUCCUCCUUCUCCUUUUACAUAAAGGGAUCAUGAUGAAAAUCUCUUUCCAUGCCCCACCCACUAGAGUAGUCAUAGGCAGAUAAUUUCCUGCCCCAGUGACUUUUCCAUGCAAGCAUACAUCUGAGUGAGAAAGUCACAGGAUAAGGAAAUCCUCCACAUAUCUCAUAUGGAUGAUUUAAAAAAAAACUCUUAAAUAGUCUCUCUGCACCCGUUCCUUUAAAAAACUAACCAAAAAUAAUUUGACUUAGUGAUUUACUUGACAUGAAAUAGCUCCUUUUAUAUAAUUUGAUUGUUAAUGGUCUAAUUUUAUUACACAUUGAAAUUCAAGCUAACUUUACUCUGGGU